rnacentral:rRNA from 1 species
AUUGAACGCUGGCGGCAGGCCUAACACAUGCAAGUCGAACGGUAGCACAGAGGAGCUUGCUCCGCGGGUGACGAGUGGCGGACGGGUGAGUAAUGUCUGGGGAUCUGCCCGAUAGAGGGGGAUAACCCAUGGAAACGGUGGCCAAUACCGCAUAACGUCGCAAGACCACAGAGGGGGACCUUCGGGCCUCUCACUAUCGUAUGAACCCAGAUGGGAUUAGCUAGUAGCCGAGGUAACGGCCCACCUAGGCGACGAUCCCUCGCUGGUCGGAGAGGAUGACCAGCCACACUGGAACUGAGACACGGUCCAGACUCCUACGGGAGGCAGCAGUGGGGAAUAUUGCACAAUGGGCGCAAGCCUGAUGCAGCCAUGCCGCGUGUAUGAAGAAGGCCUUCGGGUUGUAAAGUACUUUCAGCGGGGAGGAAGGCGAUGUGGUUAAUAACCGCGUCGAUUGACGUUACCCGCAGAAGAAGCACCGGCUAACUCCGUGCCAGCAGCCGCCGUAA